GGUGGGUCUGCCGGACCAGGACCAGGAAACAGCUGCUCGCACUCGGGCAGCAACAGGCUGAGGCCGCCCAGGGGUUCCUCCCACCGCCCGCAAAAACCAACCCGCCCCGGUUUUAGCGGCUGCGAGGUCCUCCCACCCAAUUCCACGCCCCUUCCUAGCGCGGGGCUUCUUCCGUCCCGGAGCCCCGCCCGGCUCCCGCCUCCCGCGCCGCUACCCCUUUCCUGGGGAGGUGGCGUAGGACUUCCUGAUUGCCGCGGGCCAUGCCACCGCAAGUCCCAACAGUCCAGCUCCCAGUCCCUAGCAUUUCAGCAAUCUGGACACUAGAGGAUUCCAAACAUUUCAGCUGUUUCCUGGACAACCCCUGGAGCUGCCACUGGUAACGCACACCCACGAGCUGGAACCCAGCAUCCCUCAAACAAGUGCUUUCCUCCAGGACUCUCAGUUCCUAAUGGGAUACCACCAUCCACUCUGGUGUGCCCACACCAGAAACUUAAAAAAAACCGUGAUUGGUGCCUCUCCUGAGCGUGGGACAGGAAGAGUUAACCUGCUGACAGACGGCAUUUUUUACCUUCAGUCAAUAUGAACAAGGCCCCAAGACUAUGAUUCCAAACAUCUGGAUUUCAUCAAUAUGUGAUCUGUCAUCGUAUAUUGGCAUUCCCCAGUCCCCGCGCCAGAGCGAUGCGGCUGGUUUUAUUAAUACGUCAAAUACAUUAUCCGUGUAAUACACUUGUCUGGCUGGGGCCUCCCGCUGGGGCGGGGCGGCGGAUUUGAAUGUAUGAUGAAUCAGUUUGCAUUACAUGUUCGUAAGUCA